GACGAACGCUGGCGGCGUGCCUAAUACAUGCAAGUUGAGCGAUGAAGAUUGGUGCUUGCACCAAUUUGAAGAGCAGCGAACGGGUGAGUAACGCGUGGGGAAUCUGCCUUUGAGCGGGGGACAACAUUUGGAAACGAAUGCUAAUACCGCAUAACAACUUUAAACAUAAGUUUUAAGUUUGAAAGAUGCAAUUGCAUCACUCAAAGAUGAUCCCGCGUUGUAUUAGCUAGUUGGUGAGGUAAAGGCUCACCAAGGCGAGGAUACAUAGCCGAACUGAGAGGGUGGUCGGCCACAUUGGGACGGAGACACGGCCCAAACGCCUACGGGAGGCAGCAGAAGGGAAUCGUAGGCAAUGGACGAAAGUCUGACCGAGCAACGCCGCGUGAGUGAAGAAGGUUUUCGGAUCGGAAAACUCGGUUGGUAGAGAAGAACGUUGGUGGGAGUGGAAAGCUCAUCAAGUGACGGUAACUACCCAGAAAGGGACGGCUAACUACGUG
rnacentral:rRNA from 1 species